CAGCGGAGGAGGACUGCUUCGGAGCCGCGGAUAACCGAGCUGGCAGAAGACCCUAGUGCUGCCUUUCCUCAGCAGCGCCACGCGAGCUCUGCUGCGGUGCCCACUCUGGCUGCCGUCCCCUCCCUGAGAGGGCUGCGCGGGCUGGAAGACGCUCAGACGCCGGCUCCGGUCCCCUUUCUGUCUCUUAGUUCUUCUUUCCUCCCAAGUAAGGGAAUAAGCUCCGAGGAAGGAGCGCUCCGAGGAACCGCGCAACCAAGUGUUGCCUGGUGAGAGGACAAGCAAGGAUUUCCAAAUUUGCCUUGACUAUAGAUAGGAUGUUCCCUGAGGAAUAACAGAGGCCUUCACUCACCUGCUGGGAGGUGCCCACCGCCUCCAUAGACACUUGGAUCCCCGAGGCAUCUCCCGAAGGGCUUGUCUAUCACAUACCUGCAAUGAGCCGGGCCCUGGGCUGGGCCACAGUUUCACCCUGGUGAGCAAAACUCCAUCCUCAGCCUCAAGUGUUCGUAUCCAGCUUCAAGAUGAGUGAAGAACGCUGGGUGUCCCUCACUCCUGAAGAAUUUGACCAACUCCAGAAAUAUUUGGAAUAUUCUCCCAAGAAGAUAAAGGAUGUCUUGUCUGAAUUUAAUGAGAGUGGAAGCCUCAAACAAUAUCAAUUACAUGAGACAAUUAGCUAUGAUGUCUUCAAGCUGUUCAUGAAGGCAUACCUGGAGGUGGACCUUCCCCAGCCACUGAGCACGCACCUCUUCCUGGCCUUCAGCCAGAAGCCCAGACAGGAGAUUCCUGAGCGCCCAAAGGAGGAGACCAGUAACAGCGAGGCUGGUGCCCCAGAUUCUGAUAUACAGAAUGCAGAUAAUGCUGCCAAAGCAGAUGAGGCCUGUGCCCCUGAUACAGAAUCAAAGAUCACCGAGAAGCAGGUGCCAGCUAAAGACCAAGUGGCUGCAGCGGCCGUGGGAAACGCUGCUGCCCAGCCUGCAGACUCAGACGCCCCCACCGUGCACCUGAAGGACGUGGUGUGCUACCUGUCCCUGCUGGAGACAGGCAGACCUCAGGAUAAGCUAGAGUUCAUGUUCCGUCUCUAUGAUUCGGAUGAGAACGGUCUUCUGGAUCAAGCGGAGAUGGAUCGUAUUGUCACCCAAAUGCUGCACAUUGCUCAGUAUCUUGAAUGGGAUCCCACGGAGUUAAGGCCUAUACUGAAGGAGAUGUUGCAGGGGAUGGACUACGACCGGGACGGCUUUGUGUCUCUGCAGGAAUGGGUCCAUGGAGGGAUGACCACCAUCCCAUUGCUGGUCCUCCUGGGCAUGGACGACUCCGGCUUCAAGGGGGAUGGCAGGCACGCCUGGACCAUGAAGCAUUUCAAGAAACCAACUUACUGCAACUUCUGCCACGUCAUGCUGAUGGGCGUUCGGAAGCAAGGCCUGUGCUGCUCGUACUGUAAAUAUACUGUCCACGAACGCUGUGUGUCCAAAAACAUUCCUGGGUGUGUCAAAACGUACUCAAAAGCCAAAAGGGGCGGCGAGGUGAUGCAGCACGCGUGGGUGGAAGGGAACUCCUCCGUCAAGUGUGACCGGUGCCACAAAAGUAUCAAGUGCUACCAGAGUGUCACCGCGUGGCACUGCGUGUGGUGCCGGAAGACGUUUCACCGCAAAUGUGAAUUAUCCACAGUGUGUGAUGGUGGGGAACUCAAAGACCACAUCCUGCUGCCCACCUCGAUAUGCCCCAUCACCCGGGACAGGCCAGGUGGGAAGUCUGAUGGCAGCGCGUUGGCCAAGGGUGAACUUGCAGUGCAGUAUAAGAUCAUCCCCACUCCGGGUACCCACCCCCUGUUGGUCUUGGUGAACCCCAAGAGUGGAGGGAGACAAGGAGAAAGAAUUCUUCGGAAAUUCCACUAUCUGCUCAACCCCAAACAAGUUUUCAACCUGGACAAUGGGGGGCCUACUCCAGGACUGAACUUUUUCCGUGACACCCCAGACUUCCGAGUCCUGGCCUGCGGAGGAGAUGGGACCGUCGGCUGGAUUUUGGAUUGCAUUGAUAAGGCCAACUUCGCCAAGCAUCCACCGGUGGCUGUCCUGCCUCUUGGAACAGGAAAUGACCUGGCCAGGUGUCUCCGCUGGGGAGGAGGUUACGAAGGAGGAAGCCUGACGAAAAUCCUGAAGGAGAUCGAGCAGAGCCCCUUGGCGAUGCUGGACCGCUGGCACCUGGAAGUCAUCCCCAGAGAAGAAGUGGAGAAUGGGGACCAGGUCCCGUAUGACAUCAUGAACAACUACUUCUCCAUCGGCGUGGAUGCUUCUAUUGCACACCGGUUCCACGUGAUGAGAGAGAAACACCCUGAGAAAUUCAACAGCAGGAUGAAGAACAAGCUGUGGUACUUUGAAUUUGGCACCUCAGAGACCUUUGCAGCCACCUGCAAGAAACUCCACGACCACAUAGAGUUGGAGUGUGAUGGGGUUGGGGUGGACCUGAGCAACAUCUUCCUUGAAGGCAUCGCCAUUCUCAACAUUCCCAGCAUGUACGGUGGCACCAAUCUCUGGGGAGAAACCAAAAAGAACCGAGCUAUGAUCCGGGAGAGCAGGAAGGUUGUCACUGACCCUAAGGAACUGAAAUUCUGCGUCCAAGACCUCAGUGACCAGCUGCUUGAAGUGGUGGGGCUGGAGGGAGCCAUGGAAAUGGGGCAGAUCUACACCGGCCUGAAGAGUGCGGGCCGGAGGCUGGCCCAGUGCUCCUCCGUCACCAUCAGGACAAACAAGCUGCUGCCGAUGCAAGUGGACGGAGAGCCCUGGAUGCAGCCACCUUGCACAAUUAAAAUUACUCAUAAGAACCAAGCACCCAUGAUGAUGGGACCUCCCCAGAAGAGCAGCUUCUUUUCGCUGAGGAGGAAGAGCCGUUCAAAAGACUAAACAGUGUGCCAAUUGCCAGUUAAACGAAGAGAGAAAACAAGAAACUGUAACACACACACAAACAUACAAAUAUACACACUCUCCUCUCUAACCAGUGGAAAUGAAGCCACUCUUUGGGAGGAAACCUUCACCCUGCCAACAUUCUCUCGAUUUCAACGAUGGACAUACCCCAACAGAGCCAGUGACAACAAAACAUUUCGAAUGGAUGUAGGGCCCGUGUCCUGCAGUACAUUCUGAAUGAAGGUUAGCUCAUGCAGCAACCUCCCCACUCCCAGAAGGCCUUGCGUGAGACUUUCUGAGAUUGAAGGAGAAACCCCCCUUUCUUCCCACCAGUGCUAUAAGUUUCCUCAUGGACACUCGCAAGGAGCAGGCUGCAGGUUUCCUGCUGGUGGUGAGAUCGGAUGUGGCCAAGGGAAUGAGCUCCCAUUCCAGACAACUUACACAAAGGUCCCUCUGUAACGAGACAAACAGUCUCCGACACUCAGAACAUAACCCUUGGCAGAGCCCGGCCAGUGCACGUUGGUUUCUUGGUUGUCCUUCGAGCGACAGCUUCUCUCUGAACCUGCUGAGGAGGCAGAAAGGCUGUGGAAAGCUGUGCUUCCAUUCUUGGUUCCCUGCACUGUCCGUGGGCACUUGUUAUUUCCUGAAGCCUUCUCCUUCUCCUGGUGGCUGUGUUUGUUUAGAGACGGCUCCAAGAGCCCCCAGAGCUGCCUGCACAGGACACCUUAAAUGUGGUAUUUAUUUUCUUAGUUCUGUGAACACCUGGGAGGGAAAGCAGAGAAACUGGGAUUUAUUUUUCAAAUUGGUGUCAUAAUAUUGUGUAAAAAAGGGAAGAAAAAAAACCACCCCCAGCUUCUUUCUUUUUCAAGCCAAAGCGUGUUUCCUGUUUGAGUUGCAAACCCUGGUGGCAGUGUGUUCCUGAAGGCAGGGAGGGAGUCAGGAGGGAAGGGCCGUUUGCUGAGGAGACCAGCAGACAAAGCACUGGGAGGGUCCUCCCCGCCCCCCACCUCUUUGCACCUAGCACUCCCAGAGUAUGUAUGGCCUGAAGCCCCUGCUGAUGACCGUCUUCUGUGCGUGUACAUAUGUGUAGCAUAUAUAUUUAUAAAUAUAAGUAUUUAUUUACUAAUGGACUUUCCCCGAUUGAAAACAAAAUAUGUAGUAUAAGAACAGAAAAUGGGAAAGAUAAAGAAGGUUUUUACUCCCUCAUUCCACCAUUUCCAUGUCAAGACACAUUGUCCCACGGUGGCUGUGAGAUUUAAGGAAAAUGAAAGUAACUUUGUGUCACAGAGAGACUGAGAGUUUCUGUUCCGGAUCCUCUGAACAACCAUGAAAUAGAUACUGGGCAGGAUUUAUUCUCCCAUUUGUCAGAUAAGGAAACUGAGUCUUAGGACAGUUAAGAGACUUGUCCACGGUAUCUUGGCUAAUGGGGUUUGGGAACAGGUGCCACCUAAGACAUUCAGUAGAGAAAAUAACCCACACUCCUUGGAAUAGGGUCAUUUCUGGUCGCUGAGAAUGACUCCACUUGGAUCCAGGUUGCCAGGGGAGAACGAAUGUGCAGCACAUGUGUGGACGGGACAAGCCCACGUGAGAAAAUGAGGCCUCACGAGGCUCCCCAGAGAUUCUCUCCGGCCCGAACUGGUAAGAAGUUGGUCUGGGGUUGAAGGCCCUGAACAGAUCAUCAAAUUCUCCACUUAUCACUUCAUUGUGGUCAUCAGAGUCUCUCAGUAUGGAAACAACCCUGGCUGCUGGGAUAACCUCAGUGGAGAGUCACAAAAGGACUGAGGUACCUUCUGCAAGGUACUUCCAGCCAGUACCCAGAGGGGUCUCGGCAGAGUUCAGUGGGCUUCAUUCAGCAGGUGGUGGCAUUGCCUUCCUCUCCCGAGGGCCAGUGCCUAUGAAACUUCUUUGGUAAAAGAAACAUUUGCUUCAGCACUUUUGCUCCCCCAGGCCUCCACACUCUCUGAGAUUUCUCAAGGGGAAACCUGGACCCACUGGACACUGCCCCACUGAGCUUCCUCUAACCUCCUUGCACUGGGUCAGGAGCUUUGCACAAGGAAGAGAAAAUUAAGAUUGUGUGUACAAAUUGAUUCUAAUUGUGAAGGAAGCAGUCUUCUAGGACCAUGUAGGACAGACAUCAAGGACCAUCCUGCUGAACCUAACAGUGCAGAACACUCAGCAAGGAGAAAACCGGGCCGCCCGAAGAAUCUCCUGAGUGAUGGGAUCCAUGAUGAUGGGACCAAGCUCCAGAAUGACAACAGAUAGCAAGAGGCAGGAGACUGAACGGAAAAGAAGAGGAUCCUACAGCAAGUUGCUGACCCAGCUAACGGCACAGCUGCCCUCUUCCGUAGAAUGGGAGAAAGAACCUUUUGUGCCUCUCUGUAGCGUUGUCCUCAAUGCUCGGCAGAUAUCUCAGAGAAGUUGUUAUUGCUAGCAAGUAAUCAUAAUUCCAAGAAGCCACCAGCAAAGGGGGUUCUUAUGGAUGCUUUUCUUUCUGAAGAAAACAAGUAAGACCCCACUAUCUUGGAAGAGUCUGACAAAUGUUCCCUAGAGGCUGCUGAGGAAGGGAGCCAUUCCACAUUCCCUUGUGGUAUGAGGAAUGGAGGAACCUUCCUGGGAAACAAGAGCAACAGGAGGAGUAGGCUAUAGCCUGGCUCAGCCACGUGACCUUGGGCAUGUCCUUUAGCCUUGUGAGAUCUCUUUCUUGAUCUACCAAACAAGAAGGCUCUAAAGACCUUCCCACUUCAGUGACCUUGCUUUCACCCAGGGCAAAUGCUGCGUCCAUCGGAGAGAUGGCAGGGUCCUCAUUCUCGUGGGUCUCCCCCACCCCGCUGACCUAGGAGGGCUACUGCCAGCCCUUCUGCUGAGAAUCGAUCUUCCCUCUUGAGGACUGAUCAUGCUCAGAAAUCAAUGGCUUUGUGGAGGCCAUCAUGAAAGAAACACUACAGGGAACCUCUUUGAUAAGCCCUCCUCCUAUACACACACUUGCAUACACAAAUACAGACACACACACUCAACUCCUAAAGUGUGAGCAUUUUCCAUUCUAUGUGUGAAAUCUAUUUUACCCUUUGUAACUGCCAGUGUGUUUGGAGGGAAUUCAAUCCCACUAAUGGAAAAGCACUGCUUCCUUUUAGGGAACUUAGCUAACCCUCAGUGUUUGGGGGUGACCCUGGACAGAAGGUGAAGCUACAGGUUGUAACACACCUCCACUGCGGCCCAUAAAUGUAGGCUCUACCAGCCGAGACUGAGGCAGUAACUAGUUAGCACAGUGCCGGGGUCCUUCCCUUUUUGCUCGUCCACCUCCACUGCCUCCCCACCCAUAGAUAUGUUGUUCCGUAAUGGUUGCCUUCUCCAGCCUGCCCAUCUGCCUGCAUAGAGUGCCGUGGACUCGUUCUGUAAUGCACUGUGUAUA